rnacentral:rRNA from 1 species
AUGCAAGUCGAACGAUGAAGCCUAGCUUGCUGGGUGGAUUAGUGGCGAACGGGUGAGUAACACGUGAGCAACCUGCCCCUGACUCUGGGAUAAGCGCUGGAAACGGCGUCUAAUACUGGAUAUGUCCCAUCACCGCAUGGUGUGUGGGUGGAAAGAUUUUUCGGUUGGGGAUGGGCUCGCGGCCUAUCAGCUUGUUGGUGAGGUAAUGGCUCACCAAGGCGUCGACGGGUAGCCGGCCUGAGAGGGUGACCGGCCACACUGGGACUGAGACACGGCCCAGACUCCUACGGGAGGCAGCAGUGGGGAAUAUUGCACAAUGGGCGGAAGCCUGAUGCAGCAACGCCGCGUGAGGGAUGACGGCCUUCSGGUUGUAAAC